rnacentral:rRNA from 1 species
GAAAUUACGCCUUCAUGAAGCCGGAAUUGCUAGUAAUGGCAGGUCAGCAUACUGCCGUGAAUACGUUCCCGGGCCUUGUACACACCGCCCGUCACACCAUGAGAGUUGAGAAUACCCGAAGCCCAUGUCAAAGUGGUCGAAGGUAGGCUUGAUGAUUGGGGUGAAGUCGUAACAAGGUAUC